rnacentral:rRNA from 1 species
GACGAACGCUGGCGGCGUGCUUAACACAUGCAAGUCGAGCGAUGAACCUUUCAUGAAUUUUUCGGAAUGAUUGGAAGAGGAUUAGCGGCGGACGGGUGAGUAACGCGUGAGCAACCUGCCUUAAACAACGGGAUAGCCUCGGGAAACCGGGAUUAAUACCGUAUGAGACCCCGCCUUCACAUGAAGAAGAGGUUAAAGAUUUAUCGGUUUAAGAUGGGCUCGCGUCUGAUUAGCUAGUUGGUGAGAUAAAAGCCCACCAAGGCAACGAUCAGUAACCGGCUUGAGAGAGUGAACUGUCACAUUGGAACUGAGACACGGUCCAAACUCCUACGGGAGGCAGCAGUGGGGAAUAUUGCACAAUGGGUGAAACCCUGAUGCAGCGACGCCGCGUGAGCGAUGAAGGAAUUCGUUUCGUAAAGCUCUGUCCAAGGGGAAGAUAAUGACAGUACCCUUGGAGGAAGCCCCGGCUAAUACGUGCCAGCCGCCGCGGUAA